ACACAAUUUAAUAUUUACUACCUAAAUUCUAGGGCUCCCGAUGUAACAGCCAAAUUGUACCCCUUUUUAAUUUAAACUUCAUUCGGAGGAGAACAAUUUUUCGUGGUCAAUUUCCGUUAACGGUAAUAGACGAAUUUUACCCCCUCGUUAUUUUUACCUCAGGCGUAUAAUUUUGCAAAUUACGCGAUAAAAAUUCGGCAACGGUAACAAGCAA